ensembl:lncRNA
GCUCAAAGUAAUUUUUUGCUGAGUGGUGCAAAACAGAAAAUGGACAUUUGCUUCUGGCACUGUGACCUUCUCCAGGACCUGUCCACGCUGCCCUCCCGAAUGCAGUGUAUUUCUGGAACACACUUGUGAUAUAACCAGUAACUAGUCUCCGUAAACACUCAACUUGACAGCAAGUGAGAGUUUAAAAAAAAAAAGUGUGUCUUUCGCAUCAAUGAAGAGUGCCACACUACAAAUAUAUUUCCUUUUUUCGUCAGAUAGAUGAUUUUUUAAAAAGAUCAAUUCAGAUGGACUAUAGUUCACUUAUUUUUCUUCUGGCUGUACACACGAAUACACUCAUUUUUGUUUUAAAACCAAUAGAGCUCUUAAGUAUUAUCAACUAUUGCUAAUUUAAAUAAAGAAUGUAUAGCUGAUCUAUACAUUUUCCAAUUAAGACAGCAUAAAACCUCCAUAUGUUUAAGAAUGCUGUACCCUCCACCUGCGUGCAUGCACAUUCAUACACAUUCACACCCGAUCCAACUCCACACUUCUCCACUGAUGACUAAACCAUUUGAGAUGGGUUGGUGGGGGACGGGAAAAGGGGCUGGGGAGGAUUUUUUUUUUUACAAUAGGCAUGCAUAAUAUUUACUGAACAAGACAUUUUACUCUGUAUUUUUUUAGUAUGUGGGGGAGAAUCAUCAUUUUGUUUAGACUUUAUACGGCAUGGGUUACUCAGUUCACAGCAGAGGCACCUGCACCAAAUUACUUUGUUGUAGCACAUUAAUUAUCUCAUAGCUUCUAUUUAGUCUGCAGCUGUUGCUUUUAUGUUAAUAUUUUUUAUCACCACUGUAUACAACAGGUUAUGGCAGGAAUAGAAAUAUCUCUAUUUUUUGUCCCCCCCCCCUCUUGUUUCCAUGCUUCUAUGUCAGAAGGGAAGGCUGGAAGAAAUUUAGGCAAAUUAAGCCCCAAAGCACACUAUAAUUUUCUAUCUCUGAACCGAUUUGUGAGAGAAUGGGUAACUGAAAUUAGCAAAGAAUCACCCCACACAAAGAUGGCGCGUGCAGAAUUUGUGAAAGCGAAAAAGAAGACGAAGGAGAAGCAACAGAGGGACCGAAUACUGCAGUGCUGGGGUGCAGCUGGAGUCCAGAAAUGAUUUUUUUCGAUGAAUUUAGGAUUUUGCCGCAGUAUACAUCUGCAGUCCCAGAAUCCUCCGGUAAGUUAAUCCUUCUUUCGAUGGGAAACGCCUUUAGCCUUCUUGUGAAUGAAAUAUCUGCAACCAUUUUGAAAUUUUUAAUAGAGGGGUGUGUGUAUGUGUUUGUGUGUGUGUGGUAGGGGGGUAUGUCUCCAAAGCACGCUUUCUUAGCAAUGCAGCGGUAUUUGUCUUAGUUCUUAGAAACAUUGGGAAACAUAUACCUUUGUGCUCUUUGAAUAUCAUGGAGAUGUCUCCAUUGCCUCCCCUUACACUUCCUAUGGUAGCCGUUAAAAUGUAUUUCCUUAGUAUGGCAAAGACUGUUGUGUCAAACCAGUGAAGGCCUGGAGAACACAUAACUCCAAGCACGAAGAGUGUUCCUGGCAUAACUGAAGCGGCCAUGAACAUAACUACCUCUGCUACUGCCACUGCCACCACCAUGGCCAUCACCUCCCACCACCUUCACCGCCCCUCCCUGUUCAGCAGUGCACACCAGAUGCAAGCUUUCCAUAGUGGCUCUCCGCCGAAUUUGCCCAGUGGGUUCCUAGAUUACUUCUGUGUGCAAGAAUAGCCAACCAUGUAGUCUGACAAGAGGUAUUUACAACUGAGCCUGUUCAGCUGGAAAGAAAUCAAAAGAUAACACUGAACCCUGAGAUGAUGGAUUGCAAAUCAAAGCCCCAAUCCAUAAAUAGCCCACUUGAUGAACUGCUAACUGAAAAGCUGAUCCUGAUUAUUGUCCAGUGUUUGCAGGCUGUCAAAAAGAAGUAAUUUUUUUAACAAGACUUCUUUGAGAGUCGGCAUGCAUUGUUUAUAAAUGCAUGGAAUAUUAUUUAGUCUUACCUUUCUGCUGAGAGAGGAUUCUUCCCAAGGAGAUUCAGAUUGUCCAGAAGAGACCACACCCUCAUUUCACUGUUUUCUAAUGUUUCUGUUUAUUUUCAAGUAGGGCUUAUUACCAGUUACAAUUAUAUGUUCAUUUAAGAGUCCUAAUCAAAAGGAACCAGUCAUCUAUUUCUCUCUUUAAAGGAAGCUCAUUGUCUUAGUGCUCAAUAAAUGUUUAAUUAGUGGAUUUGAUAGAAUUAACUGUCCCAAAAGUGAACAGGCCAUCUUUGCAACGUGGGCUUGAUUCAUAUUUCUGUGGGAAGUGAAGAAACAAUCUGGGCAUUUAUUUCUUUGGCUAAAAAGUGGUUCAAAAGCAUAUGUUUUAGUGAAGGGAUGCAGUACCUUCAGGUUCCAUGGAGCAACUGCAUGAUGUGCCAAUGGUCUGAUAUCAUGACAAGUAAUGCUUUCACUGUUAAGCCAGCUGGAGACACUUUUGGUUUCUAGGAACACAGCCUGAAAUUUAGAACCAUUUGUCUUCUGCAGUUUCACAAAAUGGAUUAAUAUAUGUCAAACCCAAAUGGCUGGAUCUAGAAGGUAAAAAAAGAUAACCAAGUGUUUUUUCAUGAAAUGUAUUGGCCAAAGUCAAUUCUUAAAAAUCAUUUUCACAAAAUCACUUAUUUUACCAACUCAUCAGGAAUGCUUGUAUUUCUUGUUGGUUUACUAUCUGUCUUCAUUGCAGCGAAGCUAUUCAUUUCAUAUUUUUGGUGAGGCAAUUGGAGCAAAUUCUGGUUUUGGGGAGAAGCAAAUAAAAAUUCUGAGCAAUCUGUUAAAUUUAACUAAUUUGUCUUAAUUUAACUAGUCACCCAGUAAUUCUUUAGUAUAUUUCAAAUUUGAAGGGAAAAAUAGCUUGCUGCACUAUUGCAAAUUUUUCAUUUCCUUUAUGAACAUGUUUGCUUAAAGUAUGACUAGAGACUUUAAAUAUUAAUUAUAAAUUUAGAUUGAGAUAUCUAAAUUGAAAAAAUGCUUCAAUUAUUUUGGCAUCCAAUAGAGAAAUGUAAAUAUAGAAGAGUUUUUAUCCUUUAGAUGUUCUAAUAGUACAAAUAUUUCUUAACCAGUUUUAACGGUGUGUCUUAUUCAGCAAAACAAAAACAAAACUGAACAUAGAAAAAGGAAACAUCUAUAAAAAUUAAUAUUUAUUAGUCAUCUGAUUUUAAAUAUAUGACUUUAAUCAAAUCAAAUAUAUAUUCUUUAACUCUAUAUGAACAUUAAUAUUGGGGAUCAGUACCGGAAAAAUGCCGUUUACACUUUUGAGUUCAUAUUCAAAACACUGCUUUGAUGAAGUAUCUUUUUCUGUUCAGUCUGUUCAAAUUAUGACCAUUCGGUUUAACCAUCCGCUACAGUUAAUUCUACAGAAUUACUAGCAAAGACACAAAUGAGAAAGUCAUUCUAGACAAUGGAUCUCACGGAACAUCAUCUUAGUGUGCAGACUUUUUCCACUGCAGGGGCCCAUGCUAUGGUGAUAGAUAACAGUUUAACAUUACCUCGGUGUGUAGUAAAAUAUCUUUAAGAUGGGGGAAAAUUGAAUUACUUCAGGAACAUGUUGGCCCUGUUUAGCAUUAGCUAUGCCUAAAAACUAUAUAGCCUACUCCAUGAGUGAAUGAGUAAAUAGGUUUCCUGUCUGUACCUAUGCAUAAAGACCUAUUGUUUGCAUGCAUUAAUUACAGGGAUAAAAGCCUGAAGAUAACUUUCACUGUUGCUUUUUGUAUGCUCUUCAUUGUUUUGAAGGAAAAAUAAGCAUACAAUAGACUAGACAAAGUGAAUGGAUCAUAAUUUUUUCAUCUUUGACAAAUGCCAAUCUUGCUGGAUUACAAUGGAGACAUUUCGAAGGGAAACGAAGACCCAGCUUCAGCCUAUUAGGACGAAUUAGAAAAUGUUUUUAAGAAUAGAAAAUUCGUUUUUAAAAAUUAGAAGCUGCCUAAUAGAUAGCUCCUUCCAUAAACAACAACUUGGAUUUCUCAACUAAGUAAUAUCUAUACAUGAACUUCCUCCGAGGAAAAAUCCUCCCCCAACAAAUUUAUUGAUACUUAGUAAAGUGGAACCAGAUAAAAUUGAAAUCUGUAAGAAUUAACCUAGUUGACAGGGCUCUAGAGCUAGUCCAUUUCUAUCAGUCAUUUGUUCACAGUAGGGACUAAGGACUUGUUGAAUUGCGGGCUAGGCGCCCGUUCUAACGCGAGUUCAGUCUUUGGGAUUGGGUUAACAGGAGGCUCGGCCCGGUACUUCACUUCCAGAUUCAAGCUGAAUAGCCGGUAGGGAUGCGGAAUCUACGAUUCAGACCGUGGAGGUAAUGUGCGGCUCGGCUAGGAGCCAAGUCCUGCAGAGAGCUUGGGGCCCAGACCGCAAAGACGGCGAAAGCACGAUCGCGCCGGGGUCCCUCGACUUGCAUAGGGGCAGCAGCAGCGCCCGGCAGCGCCGGGAGCGGGCGGGCCCCGACCUCAGCACUGCGGUUGGCCCGGUCCCGAACUUCCGCCCUCCUGGGACCUGUGCCGCUCGGCCUCGUAGGGCCGGGGUCCGGGUGCCGCCGCCCACGGGCAGCAAGCGGCCAGGC